rnacentral:rRNA from 1 species
GAUGAACGCUGGCGGCGUGCCUAAUACAUGCAAGUCGAGCGAAUGGAUUAAGAGCUUGCUCUUAUGAAGUUAGCGGCGGACGGGUGAGUAACACGUGGGUAACCUGCCCAUAAGACUGGGAUAACUCCGGGAAACCGGGGCUAAUACCGGAUAACAUUUUGAACCGCAUGGUUCGAAAUUGAAAGGCGGCUUCGGCUGUCACUUAUGGAUGGACCCGCGUCGCAUUAGCUAGUUGGUGAGGUAACGGGUCACCAAGGCAACGAUGCGUAGCCGACCUGGGAGGAUGAUCGGCCACACUGGGACUGAGACACGGCCCAGACCCCUACGGCAGGCUGCAGUGGGGAAUCUUCCGCAAUGGACGAAAGUCUGACGGAGCAACGCCGCGUGAGUGAUGAAGGCUUUCGGGUCGUAAAACUCUGGUGUUAGGGAAGAACAAGUGCUAGUUGAAUAAGCUGGCACCUUGACGGUACCUAACCAGAAAGCCACGGCUAACUACGUGCCAGCCGCCGCCGUAA